UGGGCAACGGUAGGUCAGCAUGCCCCGAAUUAUCUGGGCUACACGCGGGCUACAAUGGUUGGUACAAUGGGUAUCUACCCCCGAAAGGGGACGGGAAUCUCCUAAAACCAAUCUUAGUUCGGAUUGAGGGCUGCAACUCGCCCUCAUGAAGCUGGAAUCCGUAGUAAUCGCGUUUCAACAGAACGCGGUGAAUACGUCCCUGCUCCUU
rnacentral:rRNA from 1 species